rnacentral:lncRNA from 1 species
UCCCGCCGAUCAGAUAACCUCUCCAGUGGGAGCUGAGACAGUUCAGCACCUUGCGAGAAAAAGUCCAUUUUCAGAAUCAGGGCCCAAAUGACGCCACUAAAGCCAAAUUCACCCCCUGCUGCAGGUGGGAGUCAAAGGCACUCAGUAGCUCAUCAGCCUGGCCUUUGUAGUUUAUUGAGCCGCUGUGCAAACUUCAGAGAUAUUAUUUUAUAUGACCUUGGAUCUAUUCAACGCUGAAUACAGUGUUUUUCUUCUGAAGACCCGGGCUGCAUUUUGUGUAAGAUAUGUACGUUCCGGAGGAAACAGUAAACAUGGCCGUGACCUGCUGAGCUCAGAUUUCUUCAUCAAAUAUCCACCAUUCCCCAAGGAUCUUUUCUCUUCUGUCUGGAUUUGGCAUUUUGGCCUCCCAUACUUGACAGCCGCUUUCUAAGUCCAGGAAUAGAGUUGUCCAGUUGUGACAGCCGCUGUCUUCACCAACAUACCUUCCUACACAGUCUCAUCAAUCAAAAGGGAGGAAAUGUGUGUUAUUUUUGAUAAAUGGGCUCCAAGAUUUGCUGAUCGUGUUACAGGGAGGACCAGAUUAACUUGGGUCUGAAUGAAGUGACAAGGCAUUGCAGUCCAUUGUUUUUUAAAGGGCAGAGCUGUGCCGGAGAGCAAGGGGGUGUGUGAGGCUGCUUUUUACACCCAGACACAGACUAGCCAUGUCCCAGGGUGAAGUGUAGGAAGGAGGGCAGUCUCUCCCGUGCAAGGGGAUGGAGAGCGGGCAGAGUCUUGACUCCAGCCUCCAACACACUGGUCAGUGCAGCUGAGCGGGUGUGGGUGGGCAAGUCAUCGGUACCAG